rnacentral:rRNA from 1 species
AUUGAACGCUGGCGGCAGGCCUAACACAUGCAAGUCGAGCGGAUGAAGGGAGCUUGCUCCUGGAUUCAGCGGCGGACGGGUGAGUAAUGCCUAGGAAUCUGCCUGGUAGUGGGGGAUAACGUCCGGAAACGGGCGCUAAUACCGCAUACGUCCUGAGGGAGAAAGUGGGGGAUCUUCGGACCUCACGCUAUCAGAUGAGCCUAGGUCGGAUUAGCUAGUUGGUGGGGUAAAGGCCUACCAAGGCGACGAUCCGUAACUGGUCCGAGAGGAUGAUCAGUCACACUGGAACUGAGACACGGUCCAGACUCCUACGGGAGGCAGCAGUGGGGAAUAUUGGACAAUGGGCGAAAGCCUGAUCCAGCCAUGCCGCGUGUGUGAAGAAGGUCUUCGGAUUGUAAAGCACUUUAAGUUGGGAGGAAGGGCAGUAAGUUAAUACCUCGCUGUUUUGACGUUACCAACAGAAUAAGCACCGGCUAACUUCGUG